rnacentral:sRNA from 1 species
UGCGGGAAGGAUGAGAAGCUUCGACUAAGGUUCGAUUCGAGCGUAGCGAGAAAGCGUUGCCGCAGGCAACGACCCGAAGGGCGAAGCGCGCAGCGCUGAGUCAUCCUUCCCCCACCACCA